rnacentral:snRNA from 1 species
CUGCUCGCUUCAGCAGCACCUGUACUAAAAUUGGAACGAUCCAGAGAAGAUUGGCAUGGCCCCUGUGCCAGGAUGACAUGCAAAUUAGUGAAGUGUUCCAUAUUAUA